GAAGGAGUGUUCCAUCCCACUGACACGUGUCAGGUUUAGCAAUGAGAUGUUGACUGCGAUGGAUGCCUUUGUUCCAUCACAUCUUCCGAGUCCCGCGGAGUGCACAACAGCUGUUCCAAAGGGACAAAUGAAACCAUGAGUGAAACAUCGGCAGAAAGCAGCUUCUUCCAAGAGGAGACUGGCAGAGCCACAGCUGAACGCAGCCCCCUUGGUUGAGGACGUCUCUCCGAAAUCUUCACAUGCCAGGGCUGUGAUUGUGGGUGUGAAGGCAGAG